CAAACUAUUCUUAUAGUUAAGGGAUUCAUUUACAUUGAAUUAAUAUUGUGCAAUUCAAUAUAGUUUGA
rnacentral:tRNA from 2 species